rnacentral:hammerhead_ribozyme from 1 species
GCACUGCUUAGGAGUCCCACACUAGGACGAAACAGCCGUCCAGUAC